UGAACAGAGGGAGGCGAGGGCGCGAGCCUGGGCAAAUCCCAAAAAUAACGUCCCAGUUCGGAUUGUAGUCUGCAACCCGACUACAUGAAGCUGGAAUCGCUAGUAAUCGCGGAUCAGAAUGCCGCGGUGAAUACGUUCCCGGGUCUUGUACACACCGCCCGUCACACCAUGGGAGUCGGAAAUGCCCGAAGUCGGUGACCCAACCUCAGGGAGGGAGCCGCCGAAGGCAGGUCUGGUGACUGGGGUGAAGUCGUAACAAGGUAUC
rnacentral:rRNA from 1 species